rnacentral:rRNA from 1 species
GAUGAACGCUGGCGGCGUGCCUAAUACAUGCAAGUCGAGCGAACGGACGAGAAGCUUGCUUCUCUGAUGUUAGCGGCGGACGGGUGAGUAACACGUGGAUAACCUACCUAUAAGACUGGGAUAACUUCGGGAAACCGGAGCUAAUACCGGAUGAUAUUUUGAACCGCAUGGUUCAAAAGUGAAAGACGGUCUUGCUGUCACUUAUAGAUGGAUCCGCGCUGCAUUAGCUAGUUGGUAAGGUAACGGCUUACCAAGGCAACGAUGCAUAGCCGACCUGAGAGGGUGAUCGGCCACACUGGAACUGAGACACGGUCCAGACUCCUACGGGAGGCAGCAGUAGGGAAUCUUCCGCAAUGGGCGAAAGCCUGACGGAGCAACGCCGCGUGAGUGAUGAAGGUCUUCGGAUCGUAAAACUCUGUUAUUAGGGAAGAACAUAUGUGUAAGUAACUGUGCACAUCUUGACGGUACCUAAUCAGAAAGCCACGGCUAAUUACGUGCCAGCAGCCGCGGUAAUACGUAGGUGGCAAGCGUUAUCCGGAAUUAUUGGGCGUAAAGCGCGCGUAGGCGGUUUUUUAAGUCUGAUGUGAAAGCCCACGGCUCAACCGUGGAGGGUCAUUGGAAACUGGAAAACUUGAGUGCAGAAGAGGAAAGUGGAAUUCCAUGUGUAGCGGUGAAAUGCGCAGAGAUAUGGAGGAACACCAGUGGCGAAGGCGACUUUCUGGUCUGUAACUGACGCUGAUGUGCGAAAGCGUGGGGAUCGAACAGGAUUAGAUACCCUGGUAGUCCACGCCGUAAACGAUGAGUGCUAAGUGUUAGGGGGUUUCCGCCCCUUAGUGCUGCAGCUAACGCAUUAAGCACUCCGCCUGGGGAGUACGACCGCAAGGUUGAAACUCAAAGGAAUUGACGGGGACCCGCACAAGCGGUGGAGCAUGUGGUUUAAUUCGAAGCAACGCGAAGAACCUUACCAAAUCUUGACAUCCUUUGACAACUCUAGAGAUAGAGCCUUCCCCUUCGGGGGACAAAGUGACAGGUGGUGCAUGGUUGUCGUCAGCUCGUGUCGUGAGAUGUUGGGUUAAGUCCCGCAACGAGCGCAACCCUUAAGCUUAGUUGCCAUCAUUAAGUUGGGCACUCUAAGUUGACUGCCGGUGACAAACCGGAGGAAGGUGGGGAUGACGUCAAAUCAUCAUGCCCCUUAUGAUUUGGGCUACACACGUGCUACAAUGGACAAUACAAAGGGCAGCGAAACCGCGAGGUCAAGCAAAUCCCAUAAAGUUGUUCUCAGUUCGGAUUGUAGUCUGCAACUCGACUACAUGAAGCUGGAAUCGCUAGUAAUCGUAGAUCAGCAUGCUACGGUGAAUACGUUCCCGGGUCU